CUCAAUAUUACCCUGCUGGGCAAAAGAAAUAGCUAGGAGAUGCAAUAGUGCUAUGAUUGAAAAAAGCCAGGAGCACAAAAGGAACAUAAUAAAAUGGCCCAGUCCAACUAAAACAGUCCUUGAGUCUAUUGGUCAGUUCGUUAAAUGUCAGAGCUUUUCACAUUUUUGAAAAAAAAAAAUGCGUCUCUUAUUAAACUUUAAGGUAUCCUGAAUGCUCUAUCAGCCAACAUAAACGAGUUCCUUGGCGGGUAUGUUAAACUUUACCACCUGUUUACAUCCCCCUUCUUGGCAGAGAUCACCAAACCAGUGGAGUCCCUGGCCAAGCCUCCUUUGUAAUGGUAAUAAGUUCCUUCCUUAAAUAGAAACAAAACUUCUCUGUUUGACACUGAGCAAACAAAAAGCAUGCACCCAAAUAUUUCUGGCCAUGUUGGGGGCACAAGCACCCCCUUUCUACCCCCAAAGCCUGGCUUCUGCAUUGCAGUGCUACAAAAGCCAUUCGCAUAGCUGUGUCAAAGCCUCCAAGCGAAGCCUCCGACCUCAGCAUCCCACCAUCCAUUUGUCCCCUACUCUGGCUCUGA
rnacentral:lncRNA from 1 species